CCUACGGGUGGCUGCAGUGAGGAAUAUUGGUCAAUGGGCGCGAGCCUGAACCAGCCACGUCGCGUGAGGGAUGAAGGUUCUAUGGAUCGUAAACCUCUUUUAUAAGGGAAUAAAGUGUGGGACGUGUCCUAUUUUGUAUGUACCUUAUGAAUAAGGAUCGGCUAACUCCGUGCCAGCAGCCUCGGUAAUACGGAGGAUCCGAGCGUUAGCCGGAUUUAUUGGGUUUAAAGGGGGCGUAGGCGGCCUUUUAAGUCAGCGGGGAAGGUCUGUGGCUCAACCAUAGAAUUGCCGUUGAUACUGGGGGGCUUGAGUAUGUUUGAGGCAGGCGGAAUGCGUGGGGUAGCGGGGAAAUGCUUAGAUAUCACGCAGAACCCCGAUGGCGAAGGCAGCCUGCCAAGCCAUGACUGACGCUGAUGCACGAAAGCGUGGGGAUCAAACAGGAUUAGAUACCCCAGUAGUC
rnacentral:rRNA from 1 species